GGUGGUGAUACUGCAUGGACACCAGCUUGCAGCCAACCAUCACUAUGCACUCAACCUGAUCUUCCAGCAGUGCAACGAGCUGCGGCACCACUCCGACCUCCUGUCAGAUGAGAUCAAAAGGAAGUAGAUGCGCCUGCAGAAGACCUUGGUGCUUCAUACCCGCCUUCAGCAGGCUCUGCAGUGCUGUGAUGAAGGUACCUACCUGCUUGCCAACCAGCAGAUGGAUAAGUGCCAGUGUAAGGAAGGCACUCAGAAAACACUCCAGGACACAGAAAGAUUUCUUCAGCCUGCUUAAACUAUGAUCCCCAAACCCUACAGUACAAUUUUGAGUCAGUCUUAACAUCUGAGUUGAAGUGCCAGAUCCAGUUUGUGCAGGCCAAGCUAGAAAAUGUUUGCAGCAUGUUUGAGAACCGGCAGUCGUGCUUCAAGAAGCUGCUGGUAGCUCCUCGGCCAGAAAAUCCACCAAGAUCAAAGUCACCCUUGUUCUCUCCUAAACAUGGUAAAAUGUUGUGGAAUUAUGGUAUUUUCAGCUGAUAAUUCUGCUUUGAGGCAGAAAGAGAAAGGCUUAAGAUGGUUUAAAGAAGCUAACGAAACCUUGCUGGCAGAUACAGAGUUAUUGGAUAGCAUUAAAUAUAUAGCAGGUGAUUUAUUAA